rnacentral:lncRNA from 1 species
UCAAGAUCUCUAUCUUCCCAGGUUAGGAGCAUGAGGGUGUAGCAUAUAAGAGUCUGAAACAAGAUAAUGGCCAGAUGUGGAAGCAUCUGUAGCUGGCCCUUCAGGUGGUUCAUCUACAGGUUGGAAAUUCCAGCUAUUCCCAUCCCCCAUCCUGUAAGUCAUUCAAACACCAGCUAAUGUCUACCUUUGUGCCAUGGCUGAAGUACACCUUUGCAUUAUUUGUGGGAAAAGCUGUGUAGCAAAUUG